UGGUUCUGGCAUCGAUGAAGAACGCAGCGAAAUGCGAUAAGUAAUGUGAAUUGCAGAAUUUAGUGAAUCAUCGAAUCUUUGAACGCACAUUGCGCCCCUUGGCAUUCCGAGGGGCAUGCCUGUCCGAGCGUCAUGAAAACCACUCGAGCGUAGCUUGGUAUUGAACCAUGCCGGUCACGGCAGGUUUUAAAUGCAGUGGCGAUGCUGCUGGGCUUCGAACGUAGUAAAUUCAUAUCUCGCUUACGAUGCCCUGCGGAGAUCGACCAGCAAACCUUUUUGUAGUAUGUAUGGUGGACCUCGGAUCAGGCAAGAAUACCCGCUGA
rnacentral:misc_RNA from 1 species